UUGUGGGGAUAUAUCAAUUUAAAUUUAAGUUUUGUUAAAAAUUACUAAAACACUAUUUUCAGCGAAGAAGUCAAUUUUUCGGCCUUUGACCUGAUAGGAACUCGCGAGUGAGCCACACAAAGUGACGGCGAGGAAGUUGGAGGAAACUGAAUGUAAUAGAAGCAAUUGAAUAUUACACACUAUACAAAGAGUAAUUAAGCUAGUCAAAAGCGAAAAAUUUGACUUUCUCACUAAAAAUAGUGUUUUUAGUACAUUUUAACAAAAUUUAAAUUUAGGUUGAUAUAUCACAAAAAAAAAAGGUAAAUUAUAUCCCAAAAGAUAUAUUAUUAACCUGGUAUAUCCCAAAAAAAAAACGCUUAGGAAGAACCAAAUAUACCGAAUUCAAAAUUGCCACUCACACUCUCCAGUCUCCAGUCUUUCCCCCCCUAUUUUCAGAGUUCUCUCUUCACUCAUUUGUCGAUCACUGGUGAAAUUUCGUCGAAAGCGAAUUAAAUGCGAAAUCGCGCUCUUUCUCUCUCCUUCAUCUUUCUCAUACGCAAAAACUAGGGUUUUAGCGUUAAAGGAGCUCGAUACUUCCGAACAAUGAGAUAAGGGGUUCACUUUGGUGUGAUGACGGAUGAUGAUAAUGUCAACUUUUGAUGAUGAUCCCGAUGUAUAUACCUACCGAAUCAUAAAUAUUGGAGAAUGAUUGGCCUUUUUAACAAGAUUUUACUAUUGCCAAAUGCCAAUUGAUGCACUAAUCUUACCAUCAUUCAUAUUUUCGUGUAAUUUUACCAAGGCAACAUGGAUGACAUACGAUAUUUCCUUCAGAUCCUACAUGCAGUGACAGCAAAUUUGGUUUCGUCCUAUACCUGGAUAAUCAGCUAUAACGAUUACGAUCAAACUUUACAGGGAUUGUACUUUAUAGUGUGUUCAUUAGAUGAUCAAAGACAAGCCAUUUUACUUGUGCGAAAUUAUUUGGCCCUAUAUUUAUAGCACAUUUGGAUGUCUGCAAUAUCCAUAUAUGGAUUCUGAACUACGUAGCACAUCCAUCUUUCUGUUGUGUGAUCAUGCAUACAAAGAAAAGCCUAGUUACCUGAAAGUGAUGUACACAUUUUUGCGUCUUUAGCCCCUUCUGAAGAAAAGGAAUAAGAUAUUGACAAUUUGACACGUUCUUGAUUUGUUCUUCUUGAUUUUUAUUUCAAACGUUUACUGCAACUAUCUGGUAUUAUAGUGUUCUCUAAAGUUCUGUCCUUUUUUCCCGGGGGAGGGGGGGGGGUUGUUGUUCCACUAGUCAUUAUUAUAACAAAUUACAGCUGGACUGGGCUUAACUUAUAACUGCUUUUGGCCAACUGAUUUUCGCUCUUUUUACUCUCAAACUAGGCAUUUUGCACGCUUUGGUCAGCUGCAUGCUCCUUUAUUUAAUGGGAAAGAUUUGAUGCCAGAUUUGCUUCUCUGUUAGAAUCUCAUCAUGGUGAAUAUUUAGUUGAUAAGUAGAAACCCAAUCUACUCUUAUCACCCUGCACUUUGAUUUGGACAGGUUAAGCCAUGAUCAAAGCAGUCAUGAUCAAAUAUCAAACCAUAGAAUUGUGAAUUUGACACGAACAUCGCCGCUGAAGAAAAAUUAUAUAACCUUUAGUACCAGAAAGUGAAAGAGAUUGCUUACAUGUAGAUAUCUUAGUGAUCCAAUGCUUGUAUCAUUAGGUUGUCAUCGUUGCAAUGACACAAGUUGCUGGUUGCAUGAUUUUUACUAAAAGCAGUUAUUAUCUCGUAUGCUUCAAAGACUUGCUAAGGGAUUUAUUAUGUACUCUCUAAACAUAAAAUGCUGGAGCUAUUUCCAUCUUACCAUGUGUUAUGCUUCCGCUCUAUUUUGUCUGUUCCACCCACAAGGCUCGCUAUUAUAAUUGACUUUGAAGCAUAGUCUUGUUCUGAAUGAGUGAUUGUUACCUUCUUUGUACUUUAUCUACUCCAUGUGCACUGAGGAAUCAAAGGGACAGGGACAACUUCCGUCCCAAGUGAAGUGUUGAAUACAAACAAGGUGUUCCAGGUGGCUCUGUUUUUGCUUGCUCCCAAUGCACAAACUUCAAGCACGCCAGAUCAUGACUUGUGCCAGGGGGGUCAAUAAAAGAAAAGAAGGGUCUUAAAGCUCCAUUAAAGAACUAAAAAAGGAAAGAAAGGUCAAUAUGAUAAUCACUCUACAGUUCUCAUGCAGCAAAAAAUCAAGAACCGACAGAAUCACAGUAACCUCAAUAAUACAUAAUUGUACUGCAGAGAAAGGCUUUCAUUAAGUGAUUUCCAAUAGCUUUUGGGUAAUCACAAUAUUGUCUUUGAUUUCUACUCCACUAGUGUAAAAAAAAAAAAAUUGGACUUCUGUGUUCUGUCAAUGUAUAUUUUUAUAACAUGAAUUUUAUUUUACUUUCUUUUUACUUA